AGUUGCUUCAACAGAAUAAGAAGAAUGAUUUGUUGGAAGAUAAUGAAGGAAGGUAGAGGCGAUCCUUCUAGCUAAGUCUUGAAAAGGUGUAGUUUGAGCAACAAAGUCGGAUUCACAAUUAAUCUCGGCCAUUACAGCCUUCCUCCCAUCUUCACUAAUGCAUUGAAUAAUCCAACCUUCUUUAGCGGUACGAUUCUUCGAUUUUUCAGCAAGCUUACCACCUCGCUGAACGAUCUUUUUUUUUAAAAUCUCUCUAGCUAGCUCGAGGUUUCCAACACCAGCCUCUUCAACGGAUUGCUUCACAAGAUCCAUGGAUGCAUUGGUUUCAGAUCUCAACUUCUUUAUAUCAGCCAGUUUACUUGGUAAUUUACUAUACCAUUGCCGACUUAAACUACCUGUGACACGUGUCUUCCCAAAAAACUGAUGAAAAUGAAGUCUCCUUUGAAAAAGCAUAAUUUGUUUUGUAUCAAGGUAUAUCGUUAAAAAGGAAUACGAUUUUUCUGGUUUAGUAGCCCGUCUAUCAAAUCGGGGGUUCUGUUUUGGCUAAGAGACUGUAUGGAGCUUAUGAAGGCUGUGAUCCAAAUUGAUCAGUAUUGUAUAAAUAAUUAAAAGAACUACAUUUCGUUUAAAAAAAAGCACAAAUUUCAAAUACAUAACUGAUGUUGAAGUAUAUAGCUUGGGACAGUAAAAAAAUGAAUACAAAGCUGAUGAAUAAUAAUUAGAGCAGCAGGAAACUAUGAGUAGUUAGAGUAAAAAACGUAAUAAUGUAUUCUCAUGGGUUAGACAUCUUUCUAAUGGGGCAAUCUGAGGCAUUUGUGUACAAGAACAUUGAGAUUGUUG